AGCAGCGUGGCCUAGUGGGUAAAGCACUGGGAGUCAGAGGACCUGGGUUCUAAUCUCAGUUCAGCUA
rnacentral:tRNA from 1 species